rnacentral:misc_RNA from 1 species
GAUGAAGAACGCAGCGAAAUGCGAUACGUAAUGUGAAUUGCAGAAUUCAGUGAAUCAUCGAGUCUUUGAACGCACAUUGCGCCCCCUGGUAUUCCGGGGGGCAUGCCUGUCCGAGCGUCAUUGCUGCCCUCAAGCACGGCUUGUGUGUUGGGCCCCCGCCCCCCGGUUCCCGGGGGGCGGGCCCGAAAGGCAGCGGCUGCACCGCGUCCGGUCCUCGAGCGUAUGGGGCGUCGUCACCCGCUCCGUAGGCCCGGCCGGCGCCCGCCGGCGACCCCCCCUCAAUCUUUCCAGGUUGACCUCGGAUCAGGUAGGGAUACCCGCUGAACUUAAGCAUAUCAAAAGCGGAGGA